UACGUAGGGGGCUAGCGUUGUCCGGAAUCAUUGGGCGUAAAGGGCUCGUAGGCGGUCCAUCGCGUCGGGAGUGAAAAGCUGGGGCUUAACCCCAGUCCUGCUUCCGAUACGGGUGGACUAGAGGUAGGUAGGGGAGAUCGGAAUUCCUGGUGUAGCGGUGAAAUGCGCAGAUAUCAGGAGGAACACCGGUGGCGAAGGCGGAUCUCUGGGCCUUACCUGACGCUGAGGAGCGAAAGCGUGGGGAGCGAACAGG
rnacentral:rRNA from 1 species